AGGUGAGCGGCAGCUACCAUGCAGUCGAGCGGUAACAGGGGUAGCUUGCUACCCGCUGACGAGCGGCGGACGGGUGAGUAAUGCAUAGGAAUCUGCCCGAUAGUGGGGGAUAACCUGGGGAAACCCAGGCUAAUACCGCAUACGUCCUACGGGAGAAAGGGGGCUCCGGCUCCCGCUAUUGGAUGAGCCUAUGUCGGAUUAGCUAGUUGGUAAGGUAAUGGCUUACCAAGGCAACGAUCCGUAGCUGGUCUGAGAGGAUGAUCAGCCACAUCGGGACUGAGACACGGCCCGAACUCCUACGGGAGGCAGCAGUGGGGAAUAUUGGACAAUGGGGGCAACCCUGAUCCAGCCAUGCCGCGUGUGUGAAGAAGGCCCUCGGGUUGUAAAGCACUUUCAGCGAGGAAGAACGCCUAUCGGUUAAUACCCGGUAGGAAAGACAUCACUCGCAGAAGAAGCACCGGCUAACUCCGUGCCAGCAGCCGCGGUAAUACGGAGGGUGCAAGCGUUAAUCGGAAUUACUGGGCGUAAAGCGCGCGUAGGUGGCUUGAUAAGCCGGUUGUGAAAGCCCCGGGCUCAACCUGGGAACGGCAUCCGGAACUGUCAGGCUAGAGUGCAGGAGAGGAAGGUAGAAUUCCCGGUGUAGCGGUGAAAUGCGUAGAGAUCGGGAGGAAUACCAGUGGCGAAGGCGGCCUUCUGGACUGACACUGACACUGAGGUGCGAAAGCGUGGGUAGCAAACAGGAUUAGAUACCC
rnacentral:rRNA from 1 species